CUAAGGUGCAGAUGAGCACGGC
rnacentral:siRNA from 1 species